GACGGGGGCCCGCACAAGCGGUGGAGCAUGUGGUUUAAUUCGAUGAUACGCGAGGAACCUUACCUGGGCUUAAAUGGGAGUGACAGCUGUCGAAAGAUGGUUUUCUUCGGACACUCUUCAAGGUGCUGCAUGGUUGUCGUCAGCUCGUGCCGUGAGGUGUCGGGUUAAGUCCCAUAACGAGCGCAACCCUUACCGUUAGUUACCAUCAGGUUAAGCUGGGGACUCUAGCGGGACUGCCACCGUAAGGUGAGAGGAAGGUGGGGAUGACGUCAAAUCAGCACGGCCCUUAUGUCCAGGGCUACACACGUGUUACAAUGGCCGGUACAAAGGGCAGCUACUUCGCGAGAAGAUGCUAAUCUCGAAAGCCGGUCUCAGUUCGGAUCGAAGUCUGCAACCCGACUUCGUGAAGCUGGAUUCGCUAGUAAUCGCGCAUCAGCCAUGGCGCGGUGAAUACGUUCCCGGGCCUU
rnacentral:rRNA from 1 species